UAUGCGCCUAAGAUUUUAAAAAAUAACAAUCAUUUUGCUUUCUCUCUCCACCCAAACACAUAACCGUAUCUCAUCUUUCUCCUUGGUCGUUCCUCACCAUGGCAAGAUUUUCUGAACAAGUUCUACUGCCGACUUUCGGAUAGAAGCUUAAUCUUGACAAUGCCUCAUAGAGCGCGGCCUAUGACAGGGAUUCUUUUGUUUUUUGGCCUGAAUGCGGUUUUGGUUUCGACAAUUUCACCUGUCUAUGAUUAUGUGUGCUUUCAUCCUUAUUGGGAAAGAAGGCGAGAAAGGCUACGUUUAGAACGCGAAGCUUCCAUGGGAAAUGGCUCAAUGUCGGCUUAAUUUCAGCUUCAACAUUAAGCUAGCUCUUAUGAACAAGUUGUCUCAGAGGAACAUGUGUUAGAGAUCGGUUACAUGAGCAAAGGAGCAUGUAGCAGAAAAAAAAAAUUAAAAAAAAAAAAUUCCUCCAUAACUAACUUACAGUAAAAAAAUUGGCUUAUUGCCUUCUGGUGAGUAGCAAACUGCCCAGAUUUCAUUAUUUUAGUCCUAGAUUUUCAAAAGUCUGUUUCUGCGACCGACCCUGGCUUUCUUAUUACUCUUGUCAAUACUUUUGAUGAUUAUAUAGAUUAAUUUGUCUUGACUCUCA